CCUACGGGUGGCAGCAGUAGGGAAUUUUCGUCAAUGGGCGCAAGCCUGAACGAGCGAUGCCGCGUGAGUGAAGAAGGCCUUCGGGUCGUAAAGCUCUGUUGCGGGGGAAAAAAGGCAGCAUCAGGAAAUGGGUGCUGCCUGCUGGUGCCCCGCCAGAAAGUCACGGCGAAAUACGGUCCAGCAGCCGCGGUAAUACGUAGGGGGCGAGCGUUAUCCGGAAUGAUUGGGCGUAAAGGGUGCGCAGGCGGUCCUGCAAGUCUGGAGUGAAACGCAUGGGCUCAACUCAUGCAUGGCUUUGGAAACUGGAGGACUGGAGAGCAGGAGAGGGCGGUGGAACUCCAGGUGUAGCGGUAAAAUGCGUAGAUAUAUGGAAGAACACCAGUGGCGAAGGCGGCCGCCUGGCCUGUUACUGACGCUGAGGCACGAAAGCGUGGGGAGCAAACAGGAUUAGAUACCCGUGUAGUC
rnacentral:rRNA from 1 species